rnacentral:rRNA from 1 species
GCAUAUCCANUAAGCGGAGGAAAAGAAACCAACAGGGAUUGCCUCAGUAACGGCGAGUGAAGCGGCAACAGCUCAAAUUUGAAAUCUGGCCUCUUUGGGGUCCGAGUUGUAAUUUGUAGAGGAUGUUUCGGGUACCGCCUCGGUCUAAAUUUCUUGGAACAGAAUGUCAGAGAGGGUGAGAAUCCCGUCUUGGACCGGCGGUAGGGCCCAUGUGAAACUCCUUCGACGAGUCGAGUUGUUUGGGAAUGCAGCUCAAAAUGGGUGGUAUAUUUCAUCUAAAGCUAAAUAUUGGCCAGAGACCGAUAGCGCACAAGUAGAGUGAUCGAAAGAUGAAAAGAACUUUGAAAAGAGAGUUAAACAGUAUGUGAAAUUGUUGAAAGGGAAGCGCUUGCAACCAGACUUGAGCGCGGCGGUUCCCCCUUCCUUUUGGUUGGGUUACUCCGUCGUGUCCAGGCCAACAUCGGUUCUGGGGGUCGGUUAAAGGCUUGGGGAAUGUACCUACGUCUUCGGGCGUAGACUUAUAGCCCCGAGUGUCAUGCGACCUCCCGGGACCGAGGAACGCGCUUCGGCUCGGAUGUUGGCGUAAUGGUUGUAAGCGGCCCGUCUUGAACCACGGACC